CUCCUCUAUCUGUCUUUGUCCGUUAUUCUGCACAUCUAUGGCAAGUUAGGAGCUUUUCCAAGUUGGUUUGCUCUGUUUAAUGAACUGUACAUGUAGAAAUUAUAUUUUGCCAAACAAGCAAGCGAACAGAGAUACAUCUACACGUUCACAUUCACAUAUCUCUGAAUACACACACAGUCAAACACACAUGUACCUAAUAGGUACUACCUAUACAUAUUUUAAUUUUUGCUUGAAUGCAUUACCAAUGUGUGGUGUCUUUAGUGUAUUUCGAUUGGUUCAUUUAACCCAGCCGCGCUACAAUUGAUUUGGAUUUUAGUAUAUCGGUUUUAUUAUUGAAAUUGAUGAGUCCUGCCAUUUGGUUGCGCUGGAGAGCAGAAAGAGAAGGAUGAGAAUGGUAAGAAGAGCAAAAAAAAAGGAGAGGAUGCGAAACCAAACUGCCUCAACUUGAUAUGCUAUUAGCUGCCUUGCUCUUACCUCAGGUCUUCGUUUGCAUUCGCCACGAAGAUGAAAUAACACCACUUCCGUUCAGGCACUAAUGCGCAUUGAUUUUCACAUUUCCACUGGCGUCAUUUUCCAUUGUUAUACUACACUUUCCUACCUAUUGUUGUUGUUGUUGUUGUUCUUGUUAUUUAGCAAACAUUUUGCCGUUCAUCUAAUAGCUACGGAUGUGGUUAAAAGCAUUUGCCCGAACCUUCCCUUUUUCAUAGACCAUUAAAUUUGCAUUUGCUGCUGACUGGCGCGAUUGGCAGACAGGCAAGUAAGCAGCCAUUUAAAUGUGCAGACGCUGCCCGUGAAAUACGAAACCAAGAACAAGAAUGUUAAGUUCAAUGAUGAAGAACUGAAGAAGACAAGCGUUUCCCAACUAAAUAUUUAAGUAGGCAACGUGUUUCUACUAAACAGCAAACUGAUCACAUUCUAUUUCAUUCCAAAUUUGAAGUCUGAGCGAACGGAGCAAAAAAAAAAAAACAUGUCGAAACAAAUUCCUUCUUUUUUUACCACUAAAACAAAAGAAAAUCGCACAUCCAGCCAAAGGGAAUCGCAACAUGAGAUAAGUAGUUGCACGACUUUAUCUACUUCACUAUCAAUUGACGAAGAACAAAAUCUAAGGCGCAAAGUGGAGAAAAUUGUUAGAGAAAUGCCUAAAUCUGAUUCGCAUGACAUGGACGUUGAUGGCAUUAUGACUUUGAUUAUGCCAAAAGUUUUAAAUGAGCUGAAGCACUAUGACAAACUAAAUUGGAAAAUCAAUAGAAUUUUAAGAAAAUUAAAAUCCCAAAUGGAUCAUACGACUGUCAUUGAUCAAGAUAUAGCUGUUAUAUAUUACGAUUUAUACAAAAUCUUUAACAAACUGGAGAAAAUACAAGGUAUAAAAAAAAUAUACCAGAGCCGGUUGCAGAAACUCAAAAACCAGCAAAAAUGUCUCAAGAAACGAAGGUGAAACAAAUUGCUUGCCCAUU